CUCCGAUGGCUCCACCCCCUACUUCUACUAUUGGAGGGUCGGGCCACACCCCGCCCCUCGGAGAGGCGGUCUUGCUCCUGGCGCCACUUCCUCUUCGUGACGCUGUGACGUCACGGCUCGCCUCGUUUGCGAGUCCUGGGCGGCUGGGGGGUGGAGGUGACGUAGUACGGCCCGCGCCGUGACGUCAGAGCGCGGCACGGAGCUCCCCCGGCCCAGGCCUCCCACCCCGGCAGCCCCCGAGAGGCCCGGGAGGCCCCGCGGCCUGGGAGGCCUCGGGCCGGAGCUGCUGAGGGGGGCGCGGUUCCUUUUCCCGCCUCCCCGGGUGGGAGCCAGCACCCCCCCCGCCUGUCCCUGGUGUGCUGCGUGCCCCGGGAACGGGCCCUGCAGCCGCCGUGCUCAUCCCAGCACUUCCCUCGGUUAAAGUUUUCCCUCCAGUGCCUUCCAUUGCUGACGACACUUUGUUACUCGCUGUUACCUCAUUGAUCCCGUAUUUCCCAUUAUUCUGCAGAAUUGGGAGUGGUCUGCAGGCAGGGCAACAUUACUCAGCAUUUCCCAGCAUCAGUCCCUCCCUCAAGGGCUCUGAGUGUCCUCAGAACUCCGGCCUGGUCCUGCAAAGCGUUUAAGUAAGUAUUUCAUGUCAGAGGGUAUAAAAUAGUCUUUUAAGACCCAGGUUAGUAAACAACAUGGUUAAAGAUGUUCUGGCCCCACUGGAGAAAAUGGGGACACAUCAUGGAGUGUGAAGGACAGGGUGUCACCGAUAAAGACUGGCAUUCAGCACACUGCAAGGUUCAGCCCUCUAUAUUAAAAAAAGGAGAGAAAACAACUGCCCCUCCUGCAAAAUGCAAAGAAAACCAGAUAAUUUUCCCAUCGCUGAAGCAUUCUCCCAUGUUACCAGUGCCUGCUUUCUCCAAAGCGGUAUCUUGCUGUGCACCUGUUUCCCCACUGAAGGUAUGACCACUAGUUAAAAAAAAGCAGUGCAUUUCUGGUUGAAACAUUUUUCCAAUUAAAAAACCCUCUUGAACGUCCAGUCUCUCCUUUGCAUUCAGCUUCACAAGCACCCUAAACAUAAAUGAGCUUCAUACAGUAUGGAUCAGCCCUUAUACAUAGUCUUUAUGAUUUCUGCUUGUGCUGUAAAUAAAUAUGAAAGUUGUGUUACA